UACCGGAAAUGGUUCCAUGGGGCGGAGUCUCUUGUUGUUUGAGUGCAGCUGCUCUUUAUCUUCUCGGUAGAAGCAGUGGAAGUGAUGCUGAAGUGCUUAAUUCUGUUACAAGAGUUAAUCGAUCUCUUAAAAGAUCUUGGUAUGUAACUUCUUCUUUUUAAGAUAUAGAUGGCUCAAAAGGAGUCUUGCAUUAUAUCUCUAAUGCUAUGUUAGUUAUUUUCUAUCAAAAACGCUAUGUUAUUUUCAAUCAUAGAUGUAUUUAGGAUGCUUGAAGGUCAGCUGGCAAUUUUUAGUAUUUACUCCAUUGGGAAAAGAGGAUGGGUUCGGAGGGAGCAAAAACACAAAUGAAUUUUUAAUUUAGAUACCACUAAAUUUGCUAUUCUUUUGUGGGAUUUUUUGUUUAAAUAUAAUGCAUUUUUAUCUUCUAGUGUUUUAUUUGAAUUGAAAGAAUUAUUUGAAAUUGAACCACACUAUUUAUCACUUCUACUAUUAUUAUUAUUAUUAUUUUUUA